GGGAUUAGUCGGGGAUCUAAGAGACUUGGACGCCCAGUACAAAUUAAAAAAAAAAAGAUUGAUUAGGGAGAAGCAAAUUAAAAAAAAAAAGAUGAUUAGGGAGAAAACAAAUUAUCUAGCUUUUAUCAAGACGAAAACCAUGCCUUGUCUAUUCCUCCAAACGCCAUUUGCCGUAUCGUCAACCGACCAGCAAAACAAUGUGGUCAUCUCCAAUUGUUUUCUUGAUAUACAAAUGCUUAAUUAGUUCAAAGAAACUGCCGAGGUCAAAGGCGAGGCUGGUUCGGA
rnacentral:lncRNA from 1 species